UUGAGGGAUUGAUUUGAAAGUAGUGUGAAUGAGGAUGUUGCUGGGGGACUGAGGACUCUUCUGGGUUGCUCACCACUGGGCUACCUUUGAAAGUGAUCCCGUACCCCCACCUGUUAACCACUUUACCAUCUAUUGAUACAUACCUGGGAUCACUCCCAUGGGAUAAAA
rnacentral:misc_RNA from 1 species